rnacentral:rRNA from 1 species
GACGAACGCUGGCGGCGUGCCUAAUACAUGCAAGUCGAGCGAAGUUUUUCUGGUGCUUGCACCGGAAAAACUUAGCGGCGAACGGGUGAGUAACACGUAAAGAACCUGCCUCAUAGACUGGGACAACUAUUGCAAACGAUAGCUAAUACCGGAUAACAGCAUUAACUGCAUGGUUGAUGUUUGAAAGUUGGUUUUGUUAACACUAUGAGAUGGCUUUGCGGUGCAUUAGCUAGUUGGUGGGGUAAAGGCCUACCAAGGCGACGAUGCAUAGCCGACCUGAGAGGGUGAUCGGCCACACUGGGACUGAGACACGGCCCAGACUCCUACGGGAGGCAGCAGUAGGGAAUCUUCCGCAAUGGGCGAAAGCCUGACGGAGCAACGCCGCGUGAGUGAAGAAGGAUUUCGGUUCGUAAAGCUCUGUUGUUAGGGAAGAAUGAUUAUGUAGUAACUAUACAUAGUAGAGACGGUACCUAACCAGAAAGCCACGGCUAACUACGUG